rnacentral:rRNA from 1 species
UACGAGGGGGGCGAGCGUUGUUCGGAAUUAUUGGGCGUAAAGGGUGCGUAGGCGGCCAACUAAGUCAGACGUGAAAUCCCUCGGCUUAACCGGGGAACUGCGUCUGAUACUGGUUGGCUUGAGUGUGGGAGAGGGAUGCGGGAUUCCAGGUGUAGCGGUGAAAUGCGUAGAUAUCUGGAGGAACACCGGUGGCGAAGGCGGCAUCCUGGACCAUUACUGACGCUGAGGAGCGAAAGCCAGGGGAGCAAACGGG